rnacentral:rRNA from 1 species
AUUGAACGCUGGCGGCAUGCCUUACACAUGCAAGUCGAACGGUAACGCGGGGCAACCUGGCGACGAGUGGCGAACGGGUGAGUAAUAUAUCGGAACGUGCCCAGUAGUGGGGGAUAGCCCGGCGAAAGCCGGAUUAAUACCGCAUACGACCUAAGGGUGAAAGCGGGGGAUCGCAAGACCUCGCGCUAUUGGAGCGGCCGAUAUCAGAUUAGGUAGUUGGUGGGGUAAAGGCCUACCAAGCCUGCGAUCUGUAGCGGGUCUGAGAGGACGACAGGCCACACUGGGACUGAGACACGGCCCAGACUCCUACGGGAGGCAGCAGUGGGGAAUUUUGGACAAUGGGCGCAAGCCUGAUCCAGCCAUGCCGCGUGCGGGAAGAAGGCCUUCGGGUUGUAAACCGCUUUUGUCAGGGAAGAAACGCUCUGGGCUAAUACCCUGGGGUAAUGACGGUACCGUAAGAAUAAGCACCGGCUAACUACGUGCCAGCCGCCGCUGUAAAAC